rnacentral:rRNA from 1 species
UACGGGGGGGGGCAAGCGUUGUUCGGAAUUACUGGGCGUAAAGGGCUCGUAGGUGGCCAACUAAGUCAGACGUGAAAUCCCUCGGCUUAACCGGGGAACUGCGUCUGAUACUGGAUGGCUUGAGUUCGGGGAGAGGGAUGCGGAAUUCCAGGUGUAGCGGUGAAAUGCGUAGAUAUCUGGAGGAACACCGGUGGCGAAGGCGACUGAC